CAGAUUUCAUAAAUAAAAAGAAAAUUUCUUCAAACAUUUUUUUGAGAGGAUUAAUAUUCAACAGCAUAGUGAAUUGCUCAAAUGCAAAAAAAAUUUUAAGUUCAUUAGACCACAUUCAUUCUGUGUCAGAAAACCUAUGCUGUGUCAACUUUUAUCACAAUCCAAAUUUAGAGCUGAAUCCAGCUUGAAUGUUGUGUCAUACUUGCCCCAACC
rnacentral:lncRNA from 1 species